UAAGUCUGGUGCCAGCAGCCGCGGUAAUUCCAGCUCCAAUAGCGUAUAUUAAAGUUGUUGCAGUUAAAAAGCUCGUAGUUGAACUUUGGGCUUGGUCAGCCGGUCCGCUUUUUUGCGUGUACUGGUCCUGACCGAGCCUUUCCUUCUGGCUAACCUGUCUCUCGGGGCAGGCGAACCAGGACUUUUACUUUGAAAAAAUUAGAGUGUUCAAAGCAGGCCUUUGCUCGAAUAUAUUAGCAUGGAAUAAUAGAAUAGGACGUUUGGUUCUAUUUUGUUGGUUUCUAGGACCAUCGUAAUGAUUAAUAGGGACGGUCGGGGGCAUCAGUAUUCAAUUGUCAGAGGUGAAAUUCUUGGAUUUAUUGAAGACUAACUACUGCGAAAGCAUUUGCCAAA
rnacentral:rRNA from 1 species